rnacentral:lncRNA from 1 species
UUUUUCUCUCUUCUUCUUCUAUUUUUCUUCUUUUUUCUCUUUUCUCUCUUGGUUUCUUUUCCUUCCUUCUUUUUCUUUCUUUUUCUCCUUAGCCGCCGGCCUCCUUCUCUCUCUUCUUCCUCAUUCUUUAAUCGGUGCCGAUUCGACCCUCUUUCUCCCAACCGAUGCCCCUCACUUACUCUCUUUCUCCCACCCUCCAAAAUCAACUCUCUCCUUCACACCCAAAUCCGCCC